GGGGACGAACUGGAUUCGACGGGUAUAGGGUGCUUUGGGUCGCAUGCCGCGCUUUUUCUGUGUGCGCGUAAAAUAAGCGGAAACCAAUACUCAACAAUAACGCAUACGCGUUGGCUGCCUAAGGAUUAAUUUCCUGCAGUCCGUUUCGGCCAUCUCCCGUUGAUCGGAGUUAGCUGAGAUGUCAUUUUUGAUCGACUAGCGAAGGGCCAAUGCUCGGAGGUCUGACGCGAAAUACUAUCGAGCUCGCCGGUUUGCUUUUUGGACGUUUUUUAUGAGCCGGUUAAAAACCAAAACAGUCCUACGCAUGUAGAUGCCCUUAGGAACUUAUAUUCGGACACGGGUUCAAUUCCCGUCGUCUCCACGA
rnacentral:tmRNA from 1 species